CCUUAAGGAGCUAAACCAAAAGCUGACGACUCAUUCUGCAGCCUCUGCCUGAGCAUCUCUGUAAGAAGCCCUGGUUUGGGGGAUGUGGCCUGUAAACACAGGUCCUCAGUCACCGCAGGGAGCUCGGUGGGCACAGAGGAGCAGCUCUCCAUCGCUCGCAGGGCACGGGGAUGCUGGGGACAGGCAGGACCACUUGGGCAGAGAGCUGAAAUUUGGAGGCUUGAUGGAUAGGCUGGGCAGAAAGCAGGGACGAAGGGGCUGAGGGGAAACCAGAGCAAAAGAGAGGAGCCCUUUGCCCCUUCAUGAGAGCAGAAAACAGCUCAAGGUGCUUGGGGUACGUGGGGUGGUGCUGAUUCUGAGCACAGAGCAGAAAACCAGGGUGCGGCAGAGCUGGAUGCCCUUGCCAUGGGCAAGACGGGGUAAAUGGCAGCCCAGCGGGGCUCUGGAUACUGGGGUUUAUUUCUCGGCCAGAUCCAAGCUUUUAACCAAGUCUGUCAUCUCACAGUGACUCUCUUGCUCCCCCCAGUGCUGCGUUCACCCGUCUCAGCCGAGAGGCCGAGGUCCCUGAGCAUCCCGUGCCCGGUUCCUCCCCACUUUCCCAGUUCCCACUUCUCCCCAGGAACACUUCUCCAGGUCGGGGACCCAGCUUUUUGCCCCGGUUUCUUUUCAGAAACAUCAGCCCCCAUUUUUCCCAGCCUAAACAGCCUAUGUGCAGAAGCACAGCGUGCGAUCGGCCUCCUAAUCAGCCGAUCUGGCUCUCGUCUAUUUUUUAAUCAUAGGUUUCAUGAUUUGUCACUUUCUUCUUAUCAAAAUUUACAAUCAGCCUGUGCCGGUUGCAGCCGAUGAGUAACAGGUUUCUGCUGGAGAGCCCCAAGGUUCUGGUUUGCCAUCCACCCCCCGUUACGCACACAUCCAGAUAUCUCCCCCCCCCCCCAAAAUUCACAGUUAUUUGUUUCACCUACACCAGCCCCGACCUACACGAAUGCUCUCUGCUCAAAUGGCUUUGUACCCGUUGCUGCACAUUUUAACCCCUCUCCCACGGAGCUCUGGUUCUAGCUCCUGUAUUUCCAGAAAGGGGGGGCGGGGAGGGGAAUAUUUCCCCUCCUGACAGUGCUGAAUAAACAGCGCUUUUGUUUUUUCCCAUGGGAAAAAAAAAAAAAAAACAACCUGAAAGGAAAACCCAGAGCAUUAGCUUGGUGUCAGAAGGAAAGGGAACCUCCCUGGGCAAGGUGCGUUUGUGUGAUUUGCAUGAUUUGAAGAGGAAUAAGAGGAACCCCGGUUAGGAAGCGGAGCGAGGAGGGUUAUGGGCAGGUUUCUCAGGAAGGCAGCAGCGCUCUGACAGCACCCAGCUGCCAUUGAUCCGCCUCGUUCCCGAGCAAGUUAGAGCCUGCACCUGUCCCAAAGCACUUUUAGGGAGGAGUGGAGGAAGCCUGGGGCUUGUUAACACGACGCUAAGGAGCCAAGCUUUUAAAGCUGGGACCUUGGCUUCCUGAAGGGUUUCAGGGUCAAAGCCGAGCUCCCUUAGCCCUCACCCUCUGCUUCACCCGGUGGAAGCCGGAGCGGGGCUUUAACCUGCAAUCCUCCCGCACAGGAUUACCGGGGGCGGCCUCAGCGUGUUCCCACGGGCUUGCUUGUGCCUUGCUGAUCCCUUUGGAGAGGGGGAAAUGCCUCCGGGAGCCUGCUGCUGCCUCAGCCCCAUGGCUGGAACUGGGGCUCGGCUGCUCCCAAACCGUCCUGGGCUGGGCUUUGCACUGCGAAGGGACUUGGGUUUCUUUUUUUUUUUUUUUUGAAGCCCAAAAUUGCAACCAUGAGGAUUCCUGUUUGCAGGCAACUUCCAGCUCGCUGUGCCUGCUUGGUGCUGGGCCACGCUCGGGAGUUUGGGCUGUGGAGCCUGGAGCCCGGCACUGGGACCGAGCCACUUGAAAGGAUCAAGAUGUUGUUGUCAGAUUUAACAGACUUUCCACUGGAAAAAAGCAGGAGGCUGCAGGAGAGCUGGGCUUGCGGCUAAAGCGGGUGAAGCUGUCAUCAGAUAGGCUUGGGAAUAAAGAAAAAAACUCUCCCACAGCAAGAAGUCAGGUGAGCACGUGGAGAGGGGGAAGCCAGUGCCAGAAGAAGAAGCCCAGAGCCACCCCUGCUGAGAAGUGCUGGGGGAAAGGGGUGCUGCUGGAGCCCCUUUUUAAGGAGUGGGGUGGGGUUUUGGGGGGCAUUUGCUCAUUACAGGUGAGAGCAGAGGAGGUUCUCUGGAGUUUUGGCUGAGGAAAAAAAAAAAUAAAUAGGGAAAUAAUUUCCUGAUCUUUUGGCUACUGAAACUCAAGGUGUUGGUGCUCAGCUAGGAUUUCUCUGCUCACCGUCACUGCAGACAUGGACUCUGCGUGUUUCAGUAAAACCAAGGCUGUUUGGAGGAAAAAGUCCAGUGCAGAAACUUCAGUUUCAUCAGAUUUUGUCGGGGGAGGUAAAAACAACAGCAUCCCCGUGUCCAAGUCAGGCCUGGCUGUGCUGUGUGGCUGCAUGGCUGCUGGUUUUGGAGGAGACCCGAGCAGGGCAGGAGCGAUGGGGGAUGCUUAUAGCCUCCUUAGCGCAGAUCCCCUCUGCCAAAGUGCUGUGUGGUAGGGAAACGUCCCCUCCCGUCCUGCCUUCCCCAUCAUUAAGCAAUGGAAAAAUUCAUCCAGCUUGAGUAAAACCUCCCCGCAGACCUGCCCUGCCUCUGACCGCCUGUCCUGCCCUGGGAUCCCCACCCAGGGGACCUGGGGGGUCCUCGUCCACCCCAUGCUCCCUCCUCUGCGCCCACCCUGGUGGGAGUCAGAGCCCACAUGGGAAGGGUUUGCUGGGGUUUUCCAGGCAUUGCACCACCGUCUUGUGACAUUUUCUUUUGCUUUGCUGUUUGAAACAGCAGUGUGAUCCUGGCAGUGCAGAGGGAAAUGGUGAUAAUUGCAGGGAGCACGUAAAACCCAGGGAUGGGAAGGAGCCUGGGGGGGGCACAGCCCAGGCACAGCAAAGCAGCUCUCCUCCCUGGCUCCAACCUAACUCUUCUGCCCACCCCACUAGCAGGAAUUUUCCUGCAUUUCUUUGGGGUUGAAGAAGUCCUGAGCACGCUAGGUGACAGCAGCACCCAUGGGACCAUAAUCUGUGGGUCCCUGGGGGCUGUGGGUGGGUUUUUCUUGCAGCCAGGAGGGAUCAUGGCAGGCAGCGCCCUGCCCCUACCGGCACAGCUGCAUCGCACAUCUGGCCCCGCGCAUCGCCAGGGAGAGCAAAAAGAGCUUACUUUCUAAAUGGACAGGAAGGAGGAAGUAUUAUCUUAGCUUUUUUGGACGGAGAAUGAAAGUGGAAGAAUUAAAUGCCCUGCCCAAGGUCAGGGAAGCUGUCCGAGCUCCUGGGAAAGGGGCCAGACAGUCUGAGCUCCCUGGUCGGUGCUGGAGACGUGCCUGAGGCUGCCCCGCAUGGCCCAGGGCUUGGGCUCACCCUGCUUGGAGCGGGGAGCCCCCGAGGACCCUGGCUACAUCCAUGCCAUGCAAUGGGCCGAGGUUUGCUCCCAUGGCAGGUGGCACAGCGUGAUGUGCACCGGGGGAACAGAGCCCUGCUCUGCCCCAGGGCAUCCCAGCAGCCUCCCCGCAGCAGGAGCACCCCUGUCCCCCACAUACCCCUGUGCCCACUGUCCCGGCAGCGCAGCUUUUCUGCAGGCAGCCAGACCCCAGCUUUUAAUCUGCAGGCAUCUGAAAUAUGCGGUGUUCCCUCUCAUUUGAGCUCGAACACAGCCUGCUGGAUUCAUGCUUCGGGUUCUGCCCUCAUCAAGGUGCAGCUCGACAGGGAAAGGGGACCCUGCUUUGACCAGGUCCCCCAGGCUGCAUCGCUGUCUCGCUCCUGGCUGGCUUUGAACUGGAAUGGUGAUGGCAGUUCAUGAGCAUUAUUAGCUUCUCUUGUUAUUAACUGAAGAUAAGGUCAAAGUCCCUUGGGGACGAAUGCUGAGUUUCCAGAGACUCUGACUUCAGAGUGAGGCCGCAAGUGAAGAGGAGGCUCGGGAAGAAGCAGCGACGUUUCCAGGGAUGCCAAAGCCUUGGUUUUACUUUUUCUUUGUCUGGAGCCUGGGGCUAAGCAUGGUGCACACCCAGUCAUUUAGUCAGUGAGAUCUGCAAGGCUUCUGCACAAAGCGUGCUUCCUUCUCAAAUGCUGUUACUUGAAAUUGAGCGUGAACUUGUACAGAGCCCGGCUCCCCUCUGGCACCACUCGGAGUGCCGCCGGCUGCUCUGCAGCAAACCAAGGCAGCUCAGGUCCACCCAGCCCACUUGGAUCCACUUUCCCCACAUCUUGAAGUGUGCCACAGCUCUGGGAGACAACCAGGCCUCAGUUAAAAGCUCACUCGAGCCAAUGCAACUCUGUUGCUCGCUCCAGCAGGCUCUGGUGAGGCUUGUUCCGAAGGCAUGGGAUUUUUGCUGCUUUUGAGGAUUAUCAAAGCCAAACCCCGGUUUCCUUACACGCUGGAAACAACAAAACACAAAUGUUCCUGGAAAGCAAAUCCAUCAGGACUGCGAACAUGGGCGCAUAACAGCUGCAGCUGGAUUGAAGCACAGGCACACACCAGGGCACUGCAGACACCCAGGAGAAGAAGUCAGGUCCACGGGUCCCAAUUUACGGCCGCCUCCUUGCAGUGCCAAAUGCCCACUUCCAUGGGCGAUUUGUGCAGCCAGGUUACACCUCAGCCGGUCUCUGUAUAUAUGUUUUUAUUAACCUGACCUUUUCAAGCUGUUAACACGGUCCGUGGGAUGACGCCUUGAAGCCUUACAGGAUUUUUCGGCGGUGGCAGUAAAUAGCUUCUCCUGACACGUUUGGGGAGAGGCAGCUUUGGCCUUUCGGUGGUACACCAUAAACAGCCUGCACGCCUUGCUCUCAGCAUCCUGAAAGGCUUUGCUGGCUUUUUGGGAAUCUGCAGGGGGAGGCAGGAGUGAAAACGAGAACUGGAGUGUUUACAGCCUGUGGGAACUCGUGGCCAGCCUCCGCCAGCCCCCUCUUUGCAGGGGAUUCUCCUGCCCAAAUGUCCCCUGUGUUGGAGACAGCUCUGAAGAGACAUUUAGGGACCUGAAUCACACCCAUUUCCAUCAGUCGGUUUCUGAUGUAACCCUUAAAUCCUGGGCUCAAACACCCCGUGUUUUGAGAUAAAUGAUUUGGGGCUACAAAAGCGUCCCUGGU